AAAGGAACAGCUGGCUUCAGAGACUUCUGGAAGGAGAAGAGAAACUUUUGUUCUCUUUUCCCUCUGCUCCUGGGUUUAAAUGAAAUGGCUGGCUGACUGAUCAGCGGUGUCUCCUUAAAAGGACGUAAAUUGCUGCUUGCAAGAACCUCGGGUGCCAACGCAGUUCCUGGAAAUGAGGGAUAAGGCUGCCUCGCAGGAGACUCAGAAAUAACCGGGGGCUCUUCCAAGGGGUUUGUCCUGGGAGCUGAAACCCCUCCACGCAGAAAAUAAACAAACCUCAGCACCCCAACAGUCUCAGCUGGUGUGUUGGGGACUUUGCAGCCUGAGAGCCUGCAAGCGGCGGCUUUUUCGCAUCACAAGGCGGUGAGUUCUCCCUAACGGGACGAGGGAGGCCUCAGCUCGCCUCAGCGCUUCCUCAGUCCACGGUGUCCCCGGCUUUGGUCCAGCGGUGGAUCUCACGGCCCCCAGAGGGCCCGGUGCCGCUACGCCAGUGAGAGCAUGCAUUCUGUCAGCCCACAAAUGGUUCCCAAGGGUCUACCACGUGCCAGGCACUGUGCUGGGAGCAGUGAGUGAGACGAAGAUUGUUCCUGCUCUUGUGAUAGACCUUAAAUUAAAUAAUUACAUCACUAAUUCCUGCUGUGAUAACUGUUACAGAGGAGAAUGGAGCUCUGUGAGGGUGUAUAAGACAGAUCAAUUUGCUUAGAGGCUCUGCAGAGGUUUCUCGGAGGAAAUGACAGUUAAGCUGAAAAUUGCAGGAUCGGUAGAGACUGGCCAGAAGAAAAAGAAGAGUGUUCCAAGCAGAAGAAACUGCGUGCACUGACGCCCUGAAGCUGGAGGCGGGGGCACUGUGCACACAAGAAAUUUUAGAAAGUUGAUAGAGAUGGCACGCUGUGAGCAAGCUAGAGAAAAGAAAGUGUUUUUUCAAAUUGU